rfam:Parcubacteria (Thrbacteria) bacterium GW2011_GWC1_41_20 TT50_C0023, whole genome shotgun sequence.
UGGAGGGCUACUCAAGGGUGUAUGGUGGAUGGCUUGACAAAACAUGCUGAUGAAGGACGUAGCAGUCUGCGAUAAGCUUCGGUGAGGUGACAAGCAACCUUUGACCCGGAGAUGUCCGAAUGGGGAAACCCGGCUGGGGUAAUGCCCAGUCACUGUGCACUAAAUACAUAGGUGUACAGGAGGCACCCAGGGAAGUGAAACAUCUCAGUACCUGGAGGAAAAGAAAAUAACGAGUACUAUUCUCAUCUUGACGCUCGACCUAGUCGAGAAUCGAGAUGACGAAUAGUUGCUUACAUUCCCAAAGUAGUGGCGAGCGAAAUGGGAUCAGCCUAAACCAACCAAGUGAAAUACGCUGAAGUAUCUCUUCGGAGAUGUGGAUGCGAUAUGAAAGGUAACAGCCGUUGCUUGGUUGGUGUUGUAAGUCCAGAUGUGCACAUCUGUUAAUGUGCGGUAUGUAUAGAUGAUCUUUAGUGGAAUCUUCUGGAAAGAAGAACCAAAGAAGGUGAUAGUCCUGUACGCAAAAAGGAUGCAUCUACAUACGGUCUGGCACUUAAGUACGGCGGGACACGUGAAAUCCUGUCGGAAUCUGCCGCGACUAUGCGGCAAGGCUAAAUACAUGUUUUGAUCGAUAGUGUACUAGUACCGUGAGGGAAAGCUGAAAAGAACCCCGAGAGGGGAGUGAAAUAGAAUCUGAAACCAUAUACCUACAAAGAGUCGGAGCUCUGCCUUCGGGCGGGGUGACGGCGUUCCUAUUGAAGAAUGAGCCAACGAGUUCGUGUCUGUUGCAGGUUAAGUCCUUCGGGAUGGAGCCAAAGUGAAAGCAAGCCUUAACGGGCGUUUGUAUCAGACAUGAGACCCGAAACCGAGUGACCUAACCAUGGCCAGGGUGAAGCCAGUGUAAAAGCUGGUGGAGGCCCGAACCCACGUGCCGUGCAAAACACGGGGAUGAGCUGUGGUUAGCGGAGAAAUUCCAAUCGAACUCGGUAAUAGCUGGUUCUCCUCGAAAUAUGUUUAGGCAUAGCGUCGGUUAAUAGCGUGUUGGGGGUAGAGCACUGAUUGGGAUUGGCGCCUUCGGGUAGCCGUCCUAGCCAAACUCCGAAUACCAAUACGCGUUCCCGGCAGUCAGACCAUGGGGGCGAAGCUCCAUUGGUCAAAAGGGAAAGAACCCUGAUCUCAAGCUAAGGUCCCAAAGUGAUUACUAAGUGUAAAAGGUGGUGGGGAGACUUAUACAACCAGGAGGUUGGCUUAGAAGCAGCCAUCCUUUAAAGAUAGCGUAACAGCUCACUGGUCAAGUUUCCCUGCGCCGAAAAUAUACCGGGGCUAAGUAAUUCACCGAAGCUGAGGGUGUGAUGUUUCUUCGGAAACAUUACGCGGUAGAGGAGCAUUCCUAUUGCGCUGAAGUUGAGUCGUAAGGCUUGGUGGAGCGAUAGGAAGUGAGAAUGUUGGCAUGAGUAGCAUAAAGACAGGUGAGAACCCUGUCCGUCGAAAGCCCAAGGUUUCCACAGUAACGAAAAUCGUCUGUGGGUUAGUCGGGUGCUAAGGCGAGGCCGAAAGGCGUAGUCGAUGCACAGCAGGUUAAUAUUCCUGCACCGCGUUAUUGUUCUAAUGGGGGGACGUUUACCAAAGUUUCCUGUGUCCUAUGGCUAUGACACUGGGGGCUUGGGGUGGACUGGUAGGAAAAUCCGCCAGUCACAACACUCUGAGUCAUCGCGACCCCGCUUUUGCGGGGGAGAGGAAAGGAUGGUGAACCAAGAAAAGCCUCUAGGGUUAACAAUAAUGCGCCCGUACCAAAUCCGACACAGGUAGGCGGGUGUAAAUGCACUAAGACGUACGAGAGAAACAUUGUUAGGGAACUCGGCAAAACAGCGGCCGUAACUUCGGGAUAAGGCCUGGUUUUCCUCGGGAGAGGAAGACCCACAGCUAAUGACUACAAGCGACUGUUUAUCAAAAACACAGGUCCCUGCUAAACCGUAAGGUGAUGUAUAGGGGCUGAUGCCUGGCCAGUGUCCGAACGUUAAAGAAGUGGGUUAUCCCGCCUUUGGGCGGGAAAAGCUUGCGACUGAAGCGCGGAUGAACGCCGGCCGUAACUAUAACGGUCCUAAGGUGGAAUGACUGCCUUAGUAAAAUCUAGCUAAAUGCUGGAAUAUCUGGAGAAUCCUCUGAUACUAGGGUAUACUGUACAUAUAGUAUGCCAAGUAAAAAUUCACGAGGUGUGCCUUUAAAAAAGGUGCCAGACAAUCAGCAGGAAAGGCCAGAAAUUGCUGGAUGGAUAUGCGGAUUUGUUGAUGGAGAAGGUUGCUUCUCUGUUAGCAUCAUUCGCAACAGUACUACGAGUUCUGGAUGGCAGAUAUUUCCUGAGUUUGUUGUCACACAAGGUGAAAAAAGUAGAUCCUCAUUGGAGUUAAUACAAUCGUAUUUCCAGUGUGGUCAAAUUUACGAAAAUCAUCGGAGUGAUAAUCAUAAGGAACAUCUGUUGCGAUAUUGUGUAAGGUCAAAGAAAGAUUUAUUAGAAAUAGUAAUUCCGUUUUUUGAGAAGUACACUUUAAAUACUGCUAAGCGAGAUGACUUUCAAAAAUUUGUCAGGAUAUUAAACCUGAUAAAAGUAGGGAAGCAUUUAAGUAAAGCUGGUAUGACAAAGAUCGCGAAAAUAAUCCAGAGCAUGAAUAGAAGAGUACCAUCACGAUUUCUGGAAUCCUCAGAGACUACAUGCUGGAUUUCGCCAAAAGCGAAAAAGAUAUAGUCCGAUCUGCAUGGCGACAUGCAGGAUUGAUUACUCAUCAAUCACCUCAUUUAUGAGGAAACAAAAAGAGCGAAAUUCCUUGUCGGGUGAGUUCCGACCUGCACGAAUGGCAUAACGACUUGUAGACUGUCCCAACAAUGUACUCGGCGAAAUUGCGUGGGGAGUGAAGAUGCUCUCUAUGCGUAGUUGGACGAAAAGACCCCGUGAAGCUUUACUACAACUUGUCAUUGGAUUUAUGUUUCACAUGUUCAGCAUAGGUGGGAGCCCUCGGGCACCAGUGAGAUACCACCCUUGUGUUGUGUGAAUUCUAACCGGCAGCCAUGAAUCUGGCAGCUGGGACAGUGACUGGUGGGUAGUUUUACUGGGGCGGUAGCCUCCCAAAAAGUAACGGAGGCGUUUACAAAGGUUGGCUUAGCCCGGAUGGAAAUCGGGCUGAAUGUGCAAGCGCAGAAGCCAGCUUUACUGCAAGACUGACGCGUCGCGCAGUUGCGAAAGCAGAAGCUAGUGAUCCGACCGUUCGAUAUAGGACGGCGGAAGCUCAACGGAUAAAAGCUACUCCGGGGAUAACAGGCUAGUCUUGCCCAAGCGUCCACAGCGACGGCAAGGUUCGGCACCUCGAUGUCGGCUCAUCGCAUCCUGGGGGUGAAGAAGCUCCCAAGGGUUAGGCUGUUCGCCUAUUAAAGCGGUACGCGAGCUGGGUUCAGAACGUCGUGAGACAGUUCGGUCUCCUAUCCACUACGCACGUUGAAGAUUGAAAGGACUCAUCCCUAGUACGAGAGGACCGGGAUGAACUGACCUCUGGUGUACCAGUUGUUCCGCCUGGAGCAUGGCUGGGUAGCUACGUCGGGUUCGGAUAACCGCUGAAAGCAUCUAAGCGGGAAGUCGACCUUAAGAUUAAUCUUCUUAGACACCUCAGAGACUAUGAGGUUGAUAGGCACUAGGUGUAAGCUCGGUAACGAGUUCAGCCAAGGUGUACUAAUUGGUCAUAUGGCUCUCCACU